rnacentral:rRNA from 1 species
GAUGAACGCUGGCGGCGUGCCUAAUACAUGCAAGUAGAACGCUGAAGGAAGGAGCUUGCUCUUUCCGGAUGAGUUGCGAACGGGUGAGUAACGCGUAGGUAACCUGCCUGGUAGCGGGGGAUAACUAUUGGAAACGAUAGCUAAUACCGCAUAACAGUAGAUGUUGCAUGAUAUCUACUUAAAAGGUGCAAUUGCACCACUACCAGAUGGACCUGCGUUGUAUUAGCUAGUUGGUGAGGUAACGGCUCACCAAGGCGACGAUACAUAGCCGACCUGAGAGGGUGAUCGGCCACACUGGGACUGAGACACGGCCCAGACUCCUACGGGAGGCAGCAGUAGGGAAUCUUCGGCAAUGGACGGAAGUCUGACCGAGCAACGCCGCGGGAGUGAAGAAGGUUUUCGGAUCGUAAAGCUCGGUUGUAAGAGAAGAACGAGUGUGAGAGUGGAAAGUUCACACUGUGACGGUAGCUUACCAGAAAGGGACGGCUAACUACGUG